ACAAUGGAGAGUUUGAUCCUGGCUCAGGACGAACGCUAGCGGCAGGCCUAAUACAUGCAAGUCGAACGGUAAGGCCCCUUCGGGGGUACACGAGUGGCGCACGGGUGCGUAACGCGUAUGCAACCUACCCCGCAGUGGGGGAUAGUCGCGGGAAACUGCGAAUAAUACCCCGUACGCUCCAGGGAACACAUGUUUCUUGGAGGAAAGCUCCGGCGUUGUGGGAUGGGCAUGCGUCUGAUUAGCUAGUUGGUGAGGUAACGGCUCACCAAGGCGACGAUCAGUAACUGGUCUGAGAGGAUGAUCAGUCACACGGGCACUGAGACACGGGCCCGACUCCUACGGGAGGCAGCAGUAAGGAAUAUUGGUCAAUGGGGGCAACCCUGAACCAGCCAUGCCGCGUGGUGGAUGACGGCCCUCUGGGUUGUAAACACCUUUUAUGUGAGACUAAUACCUGGCUAUACGCCGGAUUGCAGGUAUCACAUGAAUAAGCACCGGCUAACUACGUGCCAGCAGCCGCGGUAAUACGUAGGGUGCAAGCGUUGUCCGGAUUUAUUGGGUUUAAAGGGUGCGUAGGCGGCAUGUUAAGUUCGUGGUGAAAUCGUUCGGCUCAACCGGAUCUCCGCCAUGGAUACUGGCAUGCUUGAGUGCGUCCGAGGAGGUUAGAAUGCGUGGUGUAGCGGUGAAAUGCAUAGAUAUCACGCAGAAUACCGAUUGCGAAGGCAGACCUCUAGGGCGUAACUGACGCUGAGGCACGAAAGCGUGGGGAGCGAACAGGAUUAGAUACCCUGGUAGUCCACGCUGUAAACGAUGAUCACUAGGUGUUCGGUAGAAUUAACUGCUGAGUGCCCAAGCGAAAGCGAUAAGUGAUCCACCUGGGGAGUACGUCGGCAACGAUGAAACUCAAAGGAAUUGACGGGGGCCCGCACAAGCGGUGGA
rnacentral:rRNA from 1 species